GUUGGAUCCAUCUGCAAGUGGACUCGUUCUAGUUGAUUUCGUGUAUUGGAACUGCAAAUAAGUUUUUCUGGAACCUUAGCGGUAUUUGGAAAGGGAAUUAAUUUGAACUUUUCUGCCUGGUCUAGAAACUUAGUCGUAUUUUCAACGCAAUCUGUCAUACAACCGAUCAACUGGGAAUAAAACCUUUUUAACCCGAA
rnacentral:lncRNA from 1 species